GAUAAUUGGCUUGUAGCGGCCAAACAUUCAUGGCGACGUCGCUUUUUGAUCAUUCAAUGUGAGCUCUUCCUAUCAUUAGCUAUGUUUCCAUCUAAAAAUGUAAAUUAACUUUAUGUGCAAAACUGGAAUAUUGUAUAAAAGAUGUGCAAACAAAGUAGCAUUUCCGUCCAACGAGUCAAAGCGAACAAAAUCUUCAACUGGCACCAAAUAUCAACAGUAAAAAUGGAGAAUCUGCGGUAGGAGAAGCUGCGUGAAUCUUUUCUUCAUUUAAUAAAUGACUUGCACCUCAGAAGACAAUCCUGACAAGCAGCACUGACGCUCAUUAAUAAUAUAAUAACACUAAUACUUACUGUAAACAGUAAGGGGUUUUAGAUUGGCCAAAACAACAUUUCAGAUGGUUUACAAUGUGCUCAGCCUGCUGGUCUAUCCAUUCGCACACAUUUCUAUCAUCACAUGAUCUCUUAUAAAAAAAUCACAUGACUUUUUGAAAUAUGCAUACUGGAAUUUGUUCGGUAAAAGUGGUUCCAUCACAGAUUAUGCACAUCUUUUUCAUGCACAUUUUCAAAAUUUAUGCGCAUAAAAUAGGUGGAUGGAAACGUAGCUAUUGUGAAGCAGAAUUCACCAAGCGUUGGAUUGUUCACUCACUAACAGGGAACGCAAGCUGGGUUUAGACUGCCAUGAGACAGGUU
rnacentral:ncRNA from 1 species